UACGUAGGGUGCGAGCGUUGUCCGGAAUUAUUGGGCGUAAAGGGCUCGUAGGCGGUUUGUCGCGUCGGGAGUGAAAUCCACUGGCUUAACUGGUGGCUUGCUUUCGAUACGGGCAGACUGGAGGUAUGCAGGGGAGAACGGAAUUCCUGGUGUAGCGGUGAAAUGCGCAGAUACCAGGAGGAACACCGGUGGCGAAGGCGGGUCUCUGGGCCGAUACUGACGCUGAGGAGCGAAAGCGUGGGGAGCGAACAGG
rnacentral:rRNA from 1 species